CACCCUCAGACCUUACCACCACGAUCUCCACCACCUGCUGCUGAUAUUCUGGAUUGUAACAUCUGUGAGGGGCAUGUUGCCAGAUUUUAUAAUGGUUUGGUUAAGCACAUGCCAGAUUUUAUAAUGGUUUGGUUAAGCACAUGUCUGGGCAUAAGAACAAGUUUAAGUUUCAGUGUAAGAAGAAAAGGUAUCUUGGUGACCAUCAGAAGCAUGUAUGUACCGACCGUGUUUUUUACACCAGGCGGUUGCAUGAAAUUCAUCUUAAAAAUGUUCCUCACUUAAAUGAGUCAGUUUGUGUUGUGUUGAUGACUGCUUGAGGUACAUUUUUUGUUUUGUUUUGAUUUGAUGGUUGAUAGUGUUUUUCUAGUUAAAUGUUGCUACUAGUUAGGGUUCAAAUGUUCAACUUGAUUGGUGUUUUCCCCCCAAAUCUAUGAGUGAAAGUUCUUUUGCAUUACUUCUUGUCUGUGUUAUUAUAGGUUUUUGUAUGCUGUGCUAUGGAAUAUGGAUCGGAAAAGACACGAUGAAGGGUGCUAAUUUAGGGUAUUCCUUCAUCGCACAUUUGUUGUUUGUUUGUACUUCUUUAACUAGAUGGAUAAUAGUACUAGUUUUUCUUUUUGCUUUUCAUGAACAACAAGUUUGGGGUUUUUAGUUGUAAUGACUUCUUUAGUUAAGUUGAAUGGACUAUGAUUCUUGGAUCUAUUGUUGGUUUAUUCAGUAUUAUAUAUGGGUUGUUUUUAGCAUUUGUUGAGUAUUUAAAUUUUUGUUUUGAUUUGUUAUGUUCAUUCUACUACUACUACUUUGUUGGCAUGUUUAUUAGGGUUUAUGUUAGCAUUCCAUGAUUUGGGUAUUUUGCUUUUGUUGUUUUUAAUUUUAUUAUGUUCAUUCUUCAGUUUGUUUUUGCUUUACUGUUCUUCUCCUUGAUUCAAAAUCAAGCUUUUGUCGUCUCUCUCAUGGUUCUGGACAUCUUGUUCUUACCAUUACUUGGAAGACCAUAAAAGUUCAGAUAUGGAUGAAUAAAAUCAUCAAGAAAGGGUGAAUAAAGUACAACUGCUUUAUCACUUUAUGAUCUCUCUCUCCUAUUGUGUUUUCUCUCUCAUCAGGUCUUCUCAGUUCUACUAGCUAUUAUUAAUUCUAGAACUAGCUAUGGGUCUUUGUAGUACGAUAGUGUUGGUCUAGUGAUAAUUAUUUUUAGCUUUUUUCAUCUUUCAAAUCAAAGAAUAAAAAGGUGAGGUGACUUGUUUACACCAUUGCAAUUCACGAUAACCUUACUUUUGAGUGUUGGUGUUAUGGUUCCUAUCACGCUUAUGAAAUUGGCACUUAGCAGAAUUUUUUUUGUCAAGUGUGGGUUUUACAGCUAGUUAAAAUUGUCACUAUUUUUGUUGUUUAGAUUUUAGAACGCAGAUAACUGUGACAACUACUGGCUCACGUGCCACCUAGCCCAACUUCUCAAAAUGGAAAUUUGUGUUUCCAUUUUAAUUCUUGGCGUUUUUGUCCUAUUUAUUGCCAAUCUGGAAAUACCCUCUUUUUUUCUUAGAAUGUUUGCCGUGGUUGCGUAGUUGUGUAAUAUGGUCGGUUUGGGUUAAACAAUACCCAUGGACAUACUAUAUAGUCUCUUCAGCGUUCAGUGAAAUGAGUACAGAAAGAAAAGGAACAAGCUAGCUUAGCCAGAAAACGUGUUUGACGACUACCUUCCACCACGAACACCACCACCAUCUCCACCACCCUCAUCACUACCACCUACUGCUGAUAUUCUGGAUUGUAACAUCUGUGAGGGGCCCGUUGCCAGAUUUUAUAAUGGUUUGGUUAAGCACAUAUCCGGUCAUAAGAACAAGUUUAAGUUUCAGUGUAAGAAGAAAAGGUAUCUUGGUGACCAUCAGAAGCAUUUAUGUACCGACCGUUUUUACACCCGGCGUCUCCGUGAAAUUCAUCUUGAAAAUGUUCCUCACUUAAAGUGAGUCAGUUUGUGUUGAUGUCUAGUUUGUGUUGAUGUCUGCUUGAGGUACAUUUUUUUUUUUGUUUUGAUUUGAUGGUUGAUGGUGUUUUUCUAGUUAAAUGUUGUUAGUAGUUAGGGUUCAAAUGUUCAACUUGAUUGGUGUUUUUCCCCCAAAUCUAUGAGUGAAAGUUCUUUUACAUUACUUCUUGUCUUUGUUAUUAUAGGUUUUUGUCUGUUGUGCUAUGGAAUAUGGAUCGCAAAAGACACGAUGAAGGGUGCUAAUUUAGGUUUUUCCUUCAUCGCACAUUUGAUAUUUGUUUGUACUUCUUUAAUUAAAUGGAUAAUAGUACUAGUUGUUGUUUUUUGCUUUUCAUGAACAACAAGUUUGGGGUUUUUAGUUGUAAUGACUUCUUUAGUUAAGUUGAAUCGACUAUGAUUCGUGGAUCUAUUGUUGGUUUAUUCACUAUGAUAUAUGGGUUGUUUUUAGCAUUUGUUGGGUAUUUAGAUUUUUGUUUUGAUUUGUUAUGUUCAUUCUACUACUACUUUGU
rnacentral:lncRNA from 1 species